rnacentral:rRNA from 1 species
CACUCCUACGGGAGGCAGCAGUGGGGAAUUUUGGACAAUGGGCGAAAGCCUGAUCCAGCAAUGCCGCGUGAGUGAAGAAGGCCUUCGGGUUGUAAAGCUCUUUUGUCAGGGAAGAAACGGUGAAAGCUAAUAUCUUUUGCUAAUGACGGUACCUGAAGAAUAAGCACCGGCUAACUACGUGCCAGCAGCCGCGGUAAUACGUAGGGUGCAAGCGUUAAUCGGAAUUACUGGGCGUAAAGCGUGCGCAGGCGGUUUUGUAAGUCUGAUGUGAAAUCCCCGGGCUCAACCUGGGAAUUGCAUUGGAGACUGCAAGGCUAGAAUCUGGCAGAGGGGGGUAGAAUUCCACGUGUAGCAGUGAAAUGCGUAGAUAUGUGGAGGAACACCGAUGGCGAAGGCAGCCCCCUGGGUCAAGAUUGACGCUCAUGCACGAAAGCGUGGGGAGCAAACAGGAUUAGAAACCCCAGUAGUCCCAUGAU